rnacentral:snRNA from 1 species
CCACGAGGCGCUGUCUACGA